UACGUAGGGGGCAAGCGUUGUCCGGAAUCAUUGGGCGUAAAGAGCGUGUAGGCGGCCAGAUAAGUCCGCUGUGAAAUCUCGAGGCUCAACUUCGAGCUGUCGGUGGAAACUGUCUGGCUAGAGUCCGGAAGAGGAGAAUGGAAUUCCUGGUGUAGCGGUGAAAUGCGCAGAUAUCAGGAGGAACACCGGUGGCGAAGGCGGGUCUCUGGACCGUAACUGACGCUGAGGCGCGAAAGCGUGGGGAGCAAACAGG
rnacentral:rRNA from 1 species